rnacentral:misc_RNA from 1 species
GUUAUUUUAAAAUAAGCUACUUCCGCUAUUUAAAGUUUAUUACUUCAGUAAAUUAAGUUUUUAUUAGAAAAGGAAAUAGCCGGAGGAUCUAGUUUUACUUUAUCUUACCUCUUUUCAUGGUUGGUAAUAAUCGAUCAUUUUCUAGCAAAUAAACAGCUAGUUAAUUCCGACCUUUUACGCCCCUGGACAAAUUUUUAUUCAUUAAGUCGAAAUCAAGUAAUGAAUCAUAUUAUUAACCGACAGAACGAUAUUAAAUGCAUAUCGCACAUUUUUUCUGUCAUAACCCUCUUCAUUUAAUAUCAUUUAAUGGAAAAAUAUAUUGUAAAAUGAUCGUGUAUGAUAUUCUCUUCCUUGUAGUUUUCUCCUUAGUAAAAGAUUGAGCCUGGGAGAAAGGUCAUUUUCCAAAUUAAAUUAAUUUAACAAGAGAAUCAGAGAAAGAAAAUUGCAUUUUUUUUCAGUUUCCCUGUCAGCUGUUUAUCCUCAGUUCUAGGUGCAGAUUUACUUCUUAGGGCAAAAACUUUACAAGAAUCUCUAAGAGCUCUACUCCAUCUAACGGUCUGCUGUCAUUUCUCUAUUCAAUCGAGCCUACCACCAGAUGGUGCUCCCUAGAACCAAAAAACUUCGCUAUCCGUACGCAUUCUGCAUAGUUAUAUAAAAUAUUAACGAACAAAUCGCAGCAAAAAUAAAUCAAAUUUGUUCGACAACCCGAUCGGUAGAAAAUUGUGUUUGCCCAUGGUUUUUUGUAACGUAGGCCAAAAUACGACCGCAAAAAUUUGCAGACUGCUCUGAAAUAAUCCGGCUUCUAUUCGCAGCUUUUACGAAGGGGAUAGUGCGAACGUGUCUCGGAUUCUGGAUUCACUACUCCGAGGAUACGACAAACGGAUUAGACCGAAUUAUAGGGGUAUAGAAUGAGAAGCGUCUCUUAAUUAGCUGACGCCUUAUCAUAAUAUCUAGGGGAAAUUUGCUCUGAACCAUUUAUUAUCUUUUCUGAUUUCUUAACUGAUCAGGUUCACCCGUAGAAGUUGGUGUCACAAUGCACGUACUAAGCGUCUCUAGUAUAUCAGAGGUUGAUAUGGACUAUACAGUAGACUUCUACUUCCGACAACACUGGACAGACCCUAGAUUGGCUUUUGACUAUGACGAAGAAUUGUGCAUUAGUACAGAGAUGCUUGAUCGGAUGUGGUGGCCGGAUACAUUCUUUGCCAAUGCUAAACUAGCCAAGUUCCAUUAUGCGACAACAAAGAAUCACUUCCUCCGAAUUAGGCCGAACGGCGACGUCCUGCAUAGUCUUAGGCUGACCGUGACCGCAAUGUGUAAUAUGGACCUGACAUUCUUUCCAAUGGACAGCCAAAUAUGUUCUUUAGAAAUCGAAAGUUUUGGUUACUUAAUGAAAGAUAUUCAUUAUAAGUGGUUAGAAGAGGGAAAAUCUGUAAAAUUUGAAAAAGGAGUACAGAUGCCCCAGUUUGUCAUACACAGUCAUCGACAAAAAGAAAAAGUUAUUGGGACGAGUACAGGAAAUUAUUCGCGACUGGCUUGCGAAUUUCAUUUUGUUCGAAGUAUGGGCUAUUAUAUCAUACAAAUUUAUGUCCCUAGUAUUUUGAUUGUUAUAUUAAGCUGGGUAUCAUUUUGGCUGUCAAGAGACGCCGUCCCAGCUAGGGUUGCUUUGGGUAUUACAACCGUUUUAACAAUGACAACUCUUAUUUCAAGUACGAAUGCUUCUUUACCGAAGAUUUCCUAUCUGAAAUCGAUCGACGUCUAUUUAGUUACAUGCUUUGUUAUGGUCUUCAGCUCAUUAGUAGAAUUUGCAUCUGUAAGCUAUCUCACUCAUAGGAAUUCAAAAAUAGUUCGAACUCAAAGUAACGGAGUGGCUGAAACUGAAGUUCGGCAAAUAUCUAACGAUAAAUACCAGAUCCGUGCACUUUGUAAAUCAACAGCUUUAGACGCCGCUAAACCUUUGUCGGAAGUGACAAGGAAUGCCAUAAGGAGCGGUGUCGACCGUAAAAUCCCGUGUGCAGCAUGUUUAGCGGCUCCUGGAGUUAUUGAAAACAUAGCAAGAGUUUGUUUUCCUGUCAGCUUCUUACUUUUUAACUGCAUUUAUUGGGUGGUAUAUCUGCAUAUUUCAAAAAAGAAGCCGGAAGAUAUGACCGAUUUUGUUCCCAUCUGAGGUAUUCUCCCCUUCAUUCUCCUCUGUCACGUGAUCCAUCAAAAAUAAAGCUUUACAUCAUUUCUGAUAUUAAAAUAUUGCUACAUCGAUAAACAAUUUUUUGGCGUUUUGUUUAAUUAGACAUGACAAGCAACUGACUCCCAAGAGAAAACCAUCUUUUUUUUUAUCGGAAACUCAUCCUUUUUGUGAUAUUCUGAUAUGAUUUGAUGAUCAGAGUGUUAUUUGUAUGCUGAAAGAGAAUGGAAAAAAAACGGAUAGAGUAUUACCCUUUAAAGUACUAACUGCUUCUUGCAUAAGGCUUAAAUAUAAAGUGACACCGUAUGGUAUGUGACGUUUAUGAAAUACCUCAAGAAAGAGAGACAGCUCAAUUAAGGUUGAAUAAAUAAUUGAAAAAAAAAAUUCAAAUAAGCCGUUUAGGUUUACUCGUUUUAAAAAUUGUAUUUAAAUAUUCAUAAAGGCUUAAAUAAAUACAAAUAUUAUUGACGAAAAGGAAAAAAAAGGUCAUUUUACGUAGUUUAUUGCGAAAGUCCGGUCGCAAGUGGAAAUUCGACAAGGAUUCAAUCAAUAUUUACAAGCGCACUAAGCCAAGUUGCUAUCGAUCGAAUAACAAACAAUGUUAAUUUCUUUUUUCCUUCUAUAUAUCUUCGAAUUACGUGAUAUUCAGUCAUCAUCGAAUUUCGAUAGAUGGCGUUUUUCUAUUAAACUUUUUUCAUUUAAUCCAAUAUUUGUUUAUAUAUAACAUUAUAUAUAAUUUUGUUGUAUUAAAAUCCUUAAAACUAAUAGGCUAA